GCGUCCAGAGCUUGCAACGGUUCCUCAAUAAUUCCAUCGUUUCCAGAAUCCCUCCAUUUUCAUGGCUAUAUUAACUGAAUUUUCCCGCCAACUCAAAACCAGCUGCAUCAAUGCACUCUACAAAACAAAACCCACGCUCAGAUUUCUCUGGAAAGAAGAGAAAGAUGAAAGAAACUGAAUCAUCAUUAACAAAACGAAGAAGUAAAACCAGCAAAAGGAACCCUCUCAAAAAAACCCAUUAGUUAUCUUACUUCUAACUCCAACUUCACUGCCACUGAAUCCAUCAUCAUCAACAAAAAUGACAAGAACAAGGACAGGAAAAAGUCAGAGUAACAAAAGGCAAACGCUAGCUCCACGCCGUCUACAUCACUAAAAAACGCCUUUUUUUUAUGUAAUUUUGAUUGGUUCUCGGUUUUUUCUUCCUGUGUUUUAUAUUUGUAUGUUUUAAGUGAGUUUUGAUUUUCGAGUCUAGGUGGUCUAGGGUUUUUAGUUCUUGAAUUUGGGUUUUUGUUCUAUGAGAGAAUGUUAUUUUUGUUGUUUUAAUACUAAUUUAUUGAUUAACGUCUUGUUACAAUUAAGCUUUUAGGGUUUUAAGUAACAUUUUUAUGUUGAAUUUUAUUUUUAAUGAAUUAAUUAACAUUUUUCCUGCAUUAGAGUUUAAUGGGUUUUGAUUUUAUGCUUAGUUAAGCUAAUAGAAUUGCAUCUACAAUAAGUCUAUGAAUUUUAAUUGAUGUUGAUUUUAUUAAUUUAGUUUUUAGUAGUUUUUUUAUUGUUUCAUUUUCUUCAUUUUCAAUGCAAGCUACAUUAUUUGUUUGAAUAUAGUUAUUUAGAUUCUAGACAGUAAUUGUGUGAGUUUAUUAGUGUUUUUGAUCUAUGGAACUACUUAUAUUUUAGAAGCAGUAGUUGGAAUAUACUCUGUGGUCUGAAAAUUAUGUGAUGUUGGUUAUCUAUGUUUUUCUCAGCCACUUUUUCUCUCUAGUUUUCUGGGUUUUGCAUGUAAACUGUACUUUGUGGUUUCGAUAUAGGAGUUGUUGAUCGCGUGAAACAACAAGGCCGGAUUCAAGGAAAAAGAUGGAUGGAGAUGGUGAUAUUGAUAUCUCCAAAUCAUGGCUAAUGCUAUUUUGAAAGGUAUAACAAUAUGACUCCAAGGAUUCUCCAAAUUACAUAAGACCAAACCUUGGAAAAAUUGAACAUACCGUGUCUGACAUACCUUUAUUUAACACUCACAUCCAAGUUUGAGUAAAUGAUGCAUGUAUGUACAGUGUUUCUUCCUGUCAUGAUUGCUUCCCUUGGUGUCAACGCGAUAAUUUUUGGAUACGAAUAAUGGCAGGUGACAGUAAGAUUGUUCUUUUCCUUUCCACAUUCCAACAUUUUACUCGACUAGGGGUGAAAAGAAUUUGUAGUUUUUCUUCAUGGAAUCAAUUUAACGCUGUGUCAAUGGACAAUUUGUAGUUUCACUUCAUGGAAUCAAUUUAACUCCAAAAUGGUUACA